rnacentral:rRNA from 1 species
UGGGGAAUAUUGGACAAUGGGCGCAAGCCUGAUCCAGCAAUGCCGCGUGUGUGAAGAAGGCCUUCGGGUUGUAAAGCACUUUUAUCAGGAGCGAAACGCUGUCGGCUAAUACCCGGCGGAACUGACGGUACCUGAGGAAUAAGCACCGGCUAACUUCGUGCCAGCAGCCGCGGUAAUACGAAGGGUGCAAGCGUUAAUCGGAAUUACUGGGCGUAAAGCGUGCGUAGGCGGUUUCUUAAGUCUGCUGUGAAAUCCCCGGGCUCAACCUGGGAAUGGCAGUGGAUACUGGGAGGCUAGAGUGUGUCAGAGGGUGGUGGAAUUCCCGGUGUAGCGGUGAAAUGCGUAGAGAUCGGGAGGAACAUCAGUGGCGAAGGCGGCCACCUGGGACAACACUGACGCUGAGGCACGAAAGCGUGGGGAGCAAACAGGAUUA